rnacentral:rRNA from 1 species
UGCAAGUCGAGCGGAAAGGCCUUCGGGGGUACUCGAGCGGCGACGGGUGAGUACACGUGAGUAUCUGCCCUUGGCUUCGGGAUAGCCACCGGAAACGGUGAUUAAUACCGGAUACGACACAUCACUGCAUGGUGCGUGUGUGGAAAGUUUUUUCGGCCAGGGAUGUGCUCGCGGCCUAUCAGCUUGUUGGCGGGGUAAUGGCCUACCAAGGCUUCGACGGGUAGCCGGCCUGAGAGGGUGACCGGCCACACUGGGACUGAGACACGGCCCAGACUCCUACGGGAGGCAGCAGUGGGGAAUAUUGGACAAUGGGCGGAAGCCUGAUCCAGCAACGCCGCGUGAGGGAUGACGGCCUUCGGGUUGUAAACCUCUUUCAGCACAGACGAAGCGCAAGUGACGGUAUGUGCAGAAGAAGGACCGGCCAACUACGUGCCAGCAGCCGCGGUAAUACGUAGGGUCCGAGCGUUGUCCGGAAUUAUUGGGCGUAAAGGGCUCGUAGGCGGUUUGUCGCGUCGGGAGUGAAAACACCGGGCUUAACUCGGUGCUUGCUUUCGAUACGGGCAGACUAGAGGUAUUCAGGGGAGAACGGAAUUCCUGGUGUAGCGGUGAAAUGCGCAGAUAUCAGGAGGAACACCGGUGGCGAAGGCGGUUCUCUGGGAAUAUCCUGA